AUGAAUUAAGUGACAUGUUAUAUACAAUUCAAGUGAAGUUUCCCAGCCUUGGCAUGGGGAUUGCUGUCAAAUUAAUUAUUUGAGGAUUGGGAAAAUCCCCAAUUGUCUGGAAGCUACCCAGUCUGAUAGCCGUUGCAUCUGGAUGAGCUGGAGCCGCCAGCGUGACCACCGUUGAUCCUGCCGCCAGAUGCCAUUGGUGUGGGUGCUUGAGAGACGUAGCAUCAAGGCCUUUUUCCAUUGUAUGGGAUGUCGCAGUCUGAAUUUCUCCAGUCGCAAUUGGAUGAGUUGCCGUGUCCUGCAAGUAGUCCUAGUCUUAGGCCCUCGCUGUGGUACAAGUACAUAGAGAUACCAUACAUCCAAAUGGAAGCGAGUGUGUGAAUGGAAUAUGAGUGAACACACAGGAGGAAUUGGUUCCCACUUGACCAUGGUGCAGAAACACAUUCCAAACAAACACGCUCCACAUUCAUAUGUAGGCAGCCAAGCUUUGUCCGGAUUUAUUUAGGAUAGAUGUUUACAAAUUCCAGUUACAAAAUUUGAAGCUUAAUAUAAUCACAAUACUUUGAUUUGAUAUAGUUUAGGGUUUUAUCCCGGUAUGAUAUAGCAAGUGUAAUUAUACUGAAAGCGGCGACAGCAUUACUAGUAUUUUGAAUGCCAUAAGCCGGCUGUUCUGAUAAUGUGCUGUAAGGGAGAGGAGGUGACGUAAAAAUGGCAAGAGUGCAGGGCAACUUGGAUGAAAAAACUGCUGCUUGAGACAAAAGGCAGGACUAAA